rnacentral:lncRNA from 1 species
ACGCCGGUGAACUUGGGGCAGCUGCUGAACGUGUGUACUACCAACGCCCUAGGGCGGGUGAUGUUAGGCAGGAGAGUGUUCGGCGACGGCAGUGGAGGCGAAGAUCCGAAGGCCGACGAGUUCAAAGAGAUGGUGGUGGAGCUGAUGGUCCUGGCCGGAGUUUUCAACAUCGGCGACUUUGUGCCGGCGCUGGAAUGGCUGGACCUGCAGGGCGUGGCUGCCAAGAUGAAGAAGCUCCAUGCUCGGUUUGACGCUUUCCUGGGCGCCAUCGUGGAGGAGCACAAGAUCAGCGGCUCUGCUGGUUCCGAGCGUCACGUGGACUUACUCAGCACGUUGAUCUCGGUGAGGGAUAAUGCCGACGGUGAGGGAGGCAAGCUCACCGACGUUGAGAUCAAAGCCUUGCUCUUGGUAUCUCUCAUUAUCCAUUUUCUUUCGUUCCUUUUAAAAAAAAAAUAAUUAUAUUUAUUUACAUUUUUUCCAGAAAAAAAAAAAAAAUUAUUAAUGGGGUCAAAUCUCCCAAAUAAAGUUUGAUAUGGACAUUACAAUAAACUUUUGUUUACUUGUAAAAGUAAGAAUUAUUAUCUGUCACUGUUUCGUCUACUUCUUGUGGUAAUUUGGUACCUGAAAUUGAUGAAAACCGUCUGUUGACAUGGCAGAACUUGUUCACAGCUGGAACUGACACCUCAUCCAGCACAGUAGAGUGGGCCAUUGCAGAGCUCAUUCGCCACCCUGAAAUGAUGGCCCAAGCCCAACAAGAGCUGGACGCAGUGGUGGGCCGAAGCAGGCUUGUAACUGAUUUGGACCUGCCCCAACUCACCUAUGUCCAAGCCAUAAUCAAGGAAACCUUCCGCCUGCACCCAUCCACGCCCCUCUCCCUCCCUCGGAUGGCGGCGGAGAGCUGUGAGAUCAACGGCUACCACAUCCCCAAAAACGCCACUCUUCUAGUGAACGUGUGGGCCAUAGCGCGGGACCCAGAGGUGUGGGAGGAGCCACUAGAAUUCAGGCCCAACAGGUUCCUCCCAGGAGGGGAAAGACCAAAUGCGGACGUGAGAGGGAAUGAUUUUGAAGUGAUUCCAUUCGGGGCUGGCCGGAGAAUAUGCGCGGGGAUGAGCUUGGGACUGAGGAUGGUGCACCUGUUAACCGCGACGCUUGUUCAUGCGUUCAACUGGGAGUUGCCGGAAGGCCAGGUGGCGGAGAAGCUGAACAUGGAUGAGGCAUAUGGGCUGACCCUACAACGAGCCGCCCCACUCAUGGUGCACCCACGGCCAAGGCUGUCACCCCAAGUUUUCGGGAAGUAAAUGAGGUUGUUUGCCCAUGAUUAAAAUAGAAGACUUGGUGAUGGAUUUGGCUGAAUAAUUAUGAUGUUCGAGAGCGAGUUUAGUAGUUUUGUGAUGGGUUUUCCCUCAACCACCUGCAUGUUAAUACUGUAAACGAUGAUUCUCAAGGGGUAUCUAAUAAUGCAAUAUGUUGGUUUAAAAUUUAAAAUAUUUACUUCACAAUAUCGAGCGUAGGAGAAGAAACUAGAAAGUCAUAUGAUGAAUAAUGUCCCCAAAACUCAAACAGAGAUCAUCACAAUCUAAAGAGUCGUGCAAGGCGGCGAGUGUACCAACUACCAAUAAAAGCACGAAAGCUGAACAAGGAGUAGCUUCAUCUGUCAUCUGACCAACCAGCCUCCUCACAAAAUACCAUAUUCCAAGUCAAAGGUAGUAUAUAUGAUUUAUUGGACGAGAAGUUGAGGCUCCAAACAUCUUUAAUACAGCACCUUUCAAACAAGAUACUUGAAAAUGUACAAAAUCACCUCAUCUCGAAACCAGGAUUAUAAAAGAAGACGACCUCCCGGACCUAUCAGAUGACCUGAUCGUACAAAAUCACCUCAUCCCGAAACCAAGACUAUAAAAGAAGACGACAUCCCGUACCUAUAAUAUGACCUAAUUGACCGACAUGUGUCUAAAAAGACGAGUCCAAUUACCCUUAUCCCCUUUAUCCUUAUAUGCACAAAAGUCAAUAAAGCCUACCGUAAAAAGUGUGCUGAAACAACUCCUUCAUAAAGAAAGUAACUUUAAAAGAGAAGUCUCUUCCUCCUUAAGGGCUCUCUCUCUCUCUCUCCAUCUUAAAGAAGAGAAAAUGUAUCUUUGUAUCCAAAAUGAUUGAAUAAAAUAUCUAAUAUGUUUCUUGAAGAAUUUUAGCAUAUUGAAGAAGUAUCAUAACUCCUAAUAGAUUUAAUUAUCACUAAAAUUAUUGAAAUAAAACCUCUAGAUGUGUUGUGAUCAUGAAUGCUUAAAUACAGUAAUUUUUAUUUAUUUUUAAAAUAAAUAAUAAAUUAAUUAAUUUAAUCUUAUAUAUUCUCUAGAUCAUGUGGUAUCUUUUAAUUUUUUAAUAUUAAUUUUUUUACAAAUUAAUUAUCAAAUUUAUAAAAACCCCAUGAAUAAUUGACUAAAUCGAUUCUUCCCUAACUUUCAAUAUCUUUCAUAAAUAGGUAAUUUUUUAAAAUAUUAAAGAGUAGCGUGGAAACUAAUUAUUAAUCUAAUUACGAUAUUAAAUAAAUAAAAAUUAGAUAUUUUUGAAAUUCAUGUACUAUAUAGUUAUUUUUUCAUAAAUAAAUUCUUAUUUGUAAUUAAUAAUUUACAUUAAUAAAAAUUUAUAACAUUACUUAUAUCAUCGUAAUAAAUUUAAAAAAUGUGGACUUUGUUGAGGCCUCGCGUCCGUGGUAAUCCAUGUAGUUGCCAAAUGGAUGGACGCACGAUCUCAACCAAUAUAGAUUUCUGGUUUAGUCGUUCCUGCAAAAGGCGUCUGGACAGGGUGUCUGGAUACACCCUCCGAUGGUAUUGUCAGCCAUGGUCCAAGAGAUAAAUCAGUUGGCCUUUUACUAGGUAUAUCAAAACUUACCUUCCUCUUUGUGCGAAGGUCCAUAUAUAUCGUCUCAGAAGCUCUAUCUCCCUCUUUAAUGAUAGAGAGAUAUUUUGGCUUGUCAUGAUGUCUCUAGGUGGUGACAGGGUCAUCAUCACUCGUAGGGCGGCUGACAAAGAUCGUGGGAGGCGCCGCAGCUGUCAGAGAUCGUAGGAAGUGACUUGCCAUCAUUCCUGUCCUUUCACUCUGCAGGUGGCGGAACGUGGGCCGUGAAAGACUGUCGGAAUGACGUAGUAAGACUUGCUUACUUUAGUCAACGAUCCGGACAAACAUAUCCGGAUAGGAUAUGUCAGUCGUUCGGAUGUGAUAUGACGAUCGUCCGGAUGUGAUGUUUGCGAGUGUCAUGUGCUUCUCCCUGAGGAAGUCCGGAUAUGAGAAGCGCGUCACGUGUCUCCUUUGGGGGAAAUCCGGAUGGAGCUAAUCCGGAUAGAAAUGUGUGCCACUUGUCAUCAGGGGGAGGGGUCCCUACAGACUUGUCGUUCAUUUCUUUCUCUCUCAAUAUAUUAUUAAAUACAUAAAUUAAUAAUAUUUAUUAAAAUGAUAUUUGCAAGUUGGGGGUGGGAUGAGAACUAUUAAAUACAUAAAUUAAUAAUAUUUAUUAAAAUGAUAUUUGCAAGUAGGGGAUGGGAUGAGAACUCGUGUUGGGAUUUUUGAUCCUAAACGUCUAAUUGAAGGGAUUUUGAAAAAAAAUAUUUAUUAAAGUAUAUCAAUUUUAAAACCAUUUUCAAAUCUACUAUAUUUUUUAUAAUAUCAAUUAAAAAUUAUCUUUUUAUAAAACACCAACUUUAAAUCAAAUAUGAAAAUUAUUUUGUGAAAAAUUAAUUUUAAAAUUCAACUAAGUUUUCUCUUCAGAAAACAACUUUUACUUUAAGUUUUUGAAAGUACUAUACAUUUGGAAGUAGUUUCAAAAGUGUGAUAUUUUAAUAAAUAUUUUUUAAAAUUGCAAUAUUUUUUUCAAAAUCUUGACACUUAAGAUAGAGUGGGCAAGCAUGGGAAAAAAAUUUACAUACACUCAAAUUUAUGUCUUAGACUAGGAACUGAAAAAUUGUGGGGCAUAUGGAUAAUACAAAAACAAUUAUCUUACUUAGAGUUACUUAUUAUUACUUAUUAUUACUUAUGCAUUAAUUAAAAGGAAAGUGUUAAGGUAUCCAAAUGCUACAUAUAGAACUUCAAAUUCGGACUAAAUUGAAUAUAUAUAUAUAUAAUGAUAUUUAAGUAAUGAAAAUUCAAACAACUAGGAUUAUGGUAUAAGAAUAGGAAUAAAUGAGAUUAUGAUACAAAUAAUAACAUUUGAAAAUGUAUACCUAAGAUCAUUUUAUUGAGUUUUUUCAUACAUUUAUUUGAGCUUAGGAUUGCAGAUGGUGCAUGUUGGGAAGUGUCACAAAUUCCUAAUUAGUAAAGAUUGAGAGAUAUUCAAUGGAACGAGAUGACUCGUGGUUCAAGGUGUAAAUAUAAAGAGUGAAAAUAUAUUUUGAGAACCUAAUAAUUAUAUUUGGUUUUGUCCUCUAUAAUGUUCUCUGUGAUAUAAUGAAAAGAUUUUCUCUCGUCCGUGAAUAUAGGUAUGAUUGAUCAAAUCACGUUAAAACCUCAUUGUAGCCUACUCUCUACGGUGAAUGGUUUGUUUUUGUUUUUUGUUUUUAUUUAUUUAUUUAUUAUUUUGUUCUUCUGACCACCCGGAAUCAUUAAAACCUCGUUGUAGCGCCCCUGCCUCCUGUGAAAGGGUUUGUUUUUGUUUCUAUUUUUUUUUUUUUUUUUUUUGUUAUUCUGAUCACCUCGGAAUUAAGCUGAUGGGGCGACCAAAUACGAAAGGGGAGAGAGAGAGGGAGUUUUGGGCAAACAUGAUUCCGAAAUUCACGGAAUCAUUAUUCUUAUUUUAAAGUCUUGGGCGACGGUGAAUAACUUUUUAAAAUUUCCUAAAAUUUUAAAGUCUCAAAUUUAUUUAUUUAUUUUAAAAAUACCAUUCUCAAAAUAAUUUUCUAAAAUUUGAUUUUAAAAAUUUAGUUUUCAAAACUUUAAUUCUCGAAAUUCACUCUUCUAAAACUCCAUUUUUUAAAAUUUAAUCAUUUAAAAUUCAAUUCUUGAAAUAAUUUUCUAGAAUUCUAAUUUUAAAUUUAAUUUUCCAAGAUUCAAAUUUUUAAAAUUUAAUUUUCCGAAAUUUCCACAAUCCCGAAUUUAAUUUUUUAUUUUUUAUUUUUUUAUGUCACAUUCAAAUAAAUUUUCGAAACUCCAAUUCCUUUUUAUUCAUUUACUUAUUGAUUUUUAAAAUUCCAUCUUUUAAAUAACUCUUCAAAAUUCUGUUUUUAAAAUUUAAUUCCAAUUUCCAAAAUUCCAAUUUUCGUAUCAAUUUAUUUAAUCAUUAUCACUUUAUUCAUUCAUUUAUUUGUUUAUUUUUUUAAAAUUCAAUUUUUAAAUAACUCUUCAAAAUUUCAUUUUUUAAAAUUUAAUUCCAAUUUCCGAAAUUCCAAUUUUCGUAUCAAUUUAUUUAAUCAUUAUCACUUUAUUCGUUUAUUCAUUUGUUUAUCUUUAAAAUUCAAUCUUUAACUCUUCAAAAUUUCGAUUUCUGAAUUUAAUUCAAAUUUCCAAAAUUCUAGUUUUCUUAUCGAUUUAUUUAAUCACUAUCAUUUUAUUCAUUUAUUUAUUUGUCUAUUUUUAUCAAAAUUCAGAUUUCCAAAUUAAGUUUCCAAUUUCCAAAAUUCCAUUUUUUUCAUUUACUUAAUCAUCAUUAUUUUCAUUAUUAUCAUUAUUCUAUUUAUUUAUUUCAAAAAUUCCUUCUUCAAAUGAUUCCAAUCUUAUGACUUUCGAAUUUAAUUUCUAAUCUAAAAAAUUUCAAUAUUUAUGUACGUUUUUCCCAAAACCCCAAUUUCCGAACUUAAUUUUCCAAAUUCCAAAAUUCUAAUUUCCUUCAAAUUUACUCUCCAAAAUUCUGAUCAUUAAAUUUAAUUCCCAAGACUCUAACUCCCAAAUAAAUUUCAAAAGUCCAGUUUUCACUCGAACGGUUUUGAUUCCACUCUAGUUUUCAAAUAAUCUUCUUUUUCUUUUGAUUUUAUAUAAGCGUGAAUGCAAUUUUCAUAAUUCCAAAAUAAUGGAAUUUGUGAUAUUAAUUCAUGCAAGAUUAAUCGGGCUUUGGUAGGGGCCCACAUAUGAGUUUUCUCUUCUGAUUGUAAAUUGUUAUGCUUGAUGAGUAUUGUUUGAUCUUUGUCUUGCUCUUUGAUAUGCAUGUGAUGAUUUUAUAUCUGAGCUAACCUUGUUUCCAUGAUAAUGCACUAUUACCUGCUGUCAAGAUACGCUCCCACUCCCGCUUUGCUUACUCUUAUGCGCGAUUCGUUUUAUUAUUUGAUCAUUUCAUUAAUAUCCAUUGACUUCCUUAUCAAUUGCCACACUUCCUUCACCUUAUUUAGUAGAGAUCCGAAUUUAGGGACUUAGAGGGGUGCUGCGGUCCUUAUCAUACCUUCCCGAUAAGUAACCUGACCCCCGAGCCUAAUCCGGUUUUUCACAGACCACCUUUUUCGAAAUAAUGAGUCACACUUAGGGUUUUAUUUCUUAUUUUAUUUACCCUUUAAAAAUAAAACAAAAAUAAGUAGUGACUCCAAGUCCUUUUUUAAUCAAUAAAUCAUUUUUUAAAAAUAAAAAUUGAACUCGCCAUCGAGUGGAAGCGCAUGAGCCGAAAUGCGGGGUCCACACUUACGUAAUCUAACAUUAUUUAUAUUAAAGCUUUUGUUAACGCAACAAACUAGUCUUCAAAUUGAUGAAUGGGGUUUUUUUUUUUUUUUUUUCNNNNNNNNNNNNNNNNNNNNNNNNNNNNNNNNNNNNNNNNNNNNNNNNNNNNNNNNNNNNNNNNNNNNNNNNNNNNNNNNNNNNNNNNNNNNNNNNNNNNNNNNNGGGGUUUUUUUUUUUUUUUUUUCUCAUUCAUACUGUGGACCCCGCAUUUCGGCUCAUGCGUUUCCCACUCGAUGGCAAGCUCGAUUUUUAUUUGAAAUUUUGAUUUUUAUUUGAUAAAGAAAAAUGACUUGGAGUCGCCACUUAUUUUUCUUUUAUUUUUAAAAAGGUAAACAAAAUAAGAAAGAAAAACCCUAAGUGUGACUCCUUAUUUUGGAAAAGGUGAUCUACGAAAUAUCGGAUUGGGUUCGGGGGUCAGGUUACUUAUCGGGAAGGUACGGUAUAAACCGUAGCACCCCUCUAAGUCCCUAGAGUCGGGUCUUUACUAAUACAAUGAAACUGACGUGGCAAUCAACGAGAAAGUCAAUGGAUACACACCUAAAUUAUACACAAUAUGGGAAUCAAAACACGCAAUAGAGAUUGACUAGAAUGAGAGUGGAUGCGUACCUCGACCACAAGCCACAAUGCGCUAUCAAGAAACGGGAUUAGUGCACAAUUAAGGAACACAAAAAAUAGCUCAUGCAUAUCGGAGUGCAAAACGAAGCUCAAGCAAAAUACAUUAAGAGCCCGUUUGGCAGUGAUUUUUAAAAGUGUUUCUACCCUUAAAAACACUUUUAAGUGUUUUUGGGAUGAAAAUAAAGUGUUUGGCAAAUUUUAAAAAACACUUUUGAAAAUCUGGAAAAACACUUGAAGUGAUUUUUAGAGAAUCACUUGAUAGGUGUUUUUUUAAAAAAAACACUUCAAUUUUUUUGAAAUAUUCCAAAAAUGCCCCCCAGUGAUAAAUCAAUUAGAAAAAUCUUUUUUUUUUUUCCAGAAAUUAAUAGGUGGUCAUAUAUUGUUUUACUUUUAAAAUUAUCUUUUAUUCAAUGUUCUUUUUUUUUUUUUAUUGAUUUAGAUGUUUUUUGUAAAUAUUUUUUAAAAUUUUAGUAUAGUGAUAAAAAAAUUAUUAUUUUUAAUUAGAAAAGUCUUUUUUUUUUUUUAGAAAUUAAUAGGUAAUCAUAUAUUGUUUUAAUUUUAAAAUUAUCUUUUAUUCAAUGUUAUUUUUUUAGUGAUUUAGAUGUUUUUUCAUUAAUAAAAAGUUUUUUUUGUUUAUCAUACCAUUUUUUUUUAAUUAAAAUUGUAUGUCCUUUUUGGUAAUUUAUUAAUAUUAAAAGUGUUUUUAUAUUUAUACAAUAUAUUAUCAAAAACACUUUAGAAUCAUUUUUUCUGAUUAUCAUAAAAGUGUUUUUCACAGAAACACUAUAACAGAAAACACUUCAAAUAAAAACACUUCCACUAGAAUCACUACCAAACGGGCUCUAAGUACGACAAUUGACAAUAAAAAAAGGAUCACACAUAGGGCCCCCACCAAAGCCCAAUUUAUUACUCAUGAACUAGUCUCACAAAUUCCGUGUUUUAGAAUUAUGAAGAAUUUAUUAUUGUUUAUGUAGAAUCAAGAAGAUCAGAAGAUUAUUUAAGAACCGGAAUAGAAUUAAAACUAUUCAAGUGAAAACUGGAUUUUUGGAAUUUACUUGAAAAUUGGAGUAUUGGGAAUUGAAUUUAAAAUAUUAGAGCUUCGGUAAUUAAAAUGAAAUUUGCCAAAGAAGAUGAGAAAUGAACUUUAGGAAAUUGAUUUGCGAGAAUAUGGGUUUUGAAAGUUGAAUUUGUAAUAAUAAUAAUAAUAAGGAGUGAACUUUAGGAAAUUGAACUGCGAGAAUAUAGAUUUUUAAUAAUAAUAAUAAUAAAAAAAAAUAAACUUUAGGAAAUUAAAUUGCGAAGAUAUAGAUUUUUAUUAAUAAGUAUAAUAAUAAUGAUAAUAAUAAUAUUAGGAAAUUGAACUGAGCGAGAGUAUAGAUUUUUAAUAAUAAUGCUAAUAAUAAUGCUAAUAAUAAUAAUAAUAAUAAUAAUAAUAAUAAUAAUAACCAUAAUAAUGAUAAUAAUAACAAUGAGGUUUUGGAAUAAUAAUAAUAAUGAUAACAAGAUUUUGAAAGUUGAAUUAAUAAUAAUAAUAAGAAUAAUAUUUUAAAAGUUGAAUUAAGAAUAAUAAUAACAAUAAUAUUUUAAAAGUUGAAUUAAUAAUAAUAAUAAGAUUUUAAAAGUUGAAUUAAUAAUAAUAAUAAUAAUAAUAAUAAUAAUAAUAAUCAUAAUAAUAAUAAGAAUAAUAAGAUUUUUAAAUAAUAAUAAUAAUAAGGUUUUGAAAGUUGAAUUAAUAAUAAUAAUAAUAAUAAUAUUUUAAACGUCGGAUUAAUAAUAAUAAUAAUAAUAAGAUUUUAAAAGUUGAAUUAAUAAUAAUAAUAAUCAUAAUAAUAAUAAUAAUAAUAAUAAGAUUUUGAAAUAAUAAUAAUAAUAAUAAGGUUUUGAAAGUUGAAUUAAUAAUAAUAAUGAUAUUUUAAAAGUUGAAUUAAUAAUAAUAAUAAUAAUAAUAAUAAUAAUAAUAUUUUAAACGUCGGAUUAAUAAUAAUAAUAAUAAUAUGGACUUCAAAAAAAUGGGCCUUAAUAAUGAUAAUAAUAGGCCUUGGACCUCAAAAAAAGGGCCUUGGGAAUGAAUAGUACAGGGGGCAUGAGGCCCUUCAUUAACGCGACUAGGCUUGGGCUUCCCCACCAGGCCCAUAUCCAUCAUCUUGGACAGGCCCCAAGCUCUAACUCCAUCACAUGCUUGGAUUGGGCCCCAACUCAAGCCCAAAUUAAAAGCAAACCCAAGAACACCAAAUUCUCUCACAGCCCACAUCUCCAACCUCCGCCUGGGCAUCACCAUCUAAAUACUCUGUGUCCUCGAGCUCACCGUCAACCUCAUCGCCUUCUUCAUCGGAACCCCACAUCUCAUCAUCCUCUUUCAAGGUUCGCCGCCCACGCGCACUCACACGCGCUUGCUCUGGUUGCCGAAGCCAAGGGUUGAACCAGUCUUGGACAGCCGCAAUAACGUCAGUGCGCGGGCAUCUGCUCAGUUCUCAUGUUAGACGAAGGAGAUGGGCCUUCCGAUCAGGGUUGAGGAGAAAAAGGGAGGAAGCGAUCCUGCUCGUUGGAGCAAUGCGCCAGGUGACCAUGGAGAUCGGUGGAGAAGUUACUCCUAGCCUCUGAGACGAGCAAUGGAGGAGGAGAAGCUCCACUGCCGCCAUUGAUUCAGCUGACUGGGCAAGCUUGAGGAGGCGGGUAUGAAGGAUGGCGGCCAUACAUGGCUAUGCGUGGCCACGUGAGAACGAGAGGAAUGAGUGCAAUGGACAAGGAAAAUGGGUUUGGAUAAGUUUAGAGAUAUGAUAUGCAUGGGCUGCUAGAGAGGAAUAUGAUGGAUGAACAUGGAGUAUACUAUGGAUGGGAAGGUAGGGAUGACUAUGCGCAUGGAGCUCCAUGCACACGAGAAGACAGAGAAUCAAAGGGUUAGUAUAGAUAGCAUGGGAUCUCAGACUUCAAUGUCUUCAAUAUUGCGUUCUCUGCAUCACUCCAAACAUGACGCUGGCUUUCAGGAUGGAGGCAAACAGAGCAAAGGAAAAAAAAAGCAAAACCAAGCAUGGAUAAUCGAAACAAAUGGAACCCAUAACAGCCUCAUGUUGUGCAUUAAUCCCUGGGCUUAGAUGGAGGUGGGUGAAAAUAAAGGAUCAUCAAACAAAACCAGAGCAUGGUUGCAGAUAUAUUAUGGGGAAAAACAAAGACGAAAUCACCUUAAGCAAGAACCAUUAAGAAGGGAUAUAUGGAUAUGCUUACCCUCAACACACAAACAUCACCCAAGAAUGGACAGAGAAAGAGAAGAGAACCAUACCUGUGAGUGAUCUUCUCUAACAAGAUCGAGCCAAAAACUCAGCAAAGCAUCCCUCUUUUCCCUUGCUUAGCUUUCCACCAUUCUCUCCUUUUCUUCCUUUCACUAUCUCCCAUCUCUCCCUCUUGUCCCGUCUUUUCCUCUCUGGCCCCCCACUUACUCCUCCUGCCACAGCCCCAAAGAAAAGAUAUAUUUAUUAUUAUUUUUUCUUUGCUGGCAGCUUCUCCUCCGAGCUAUCUCUCGCCGCCACCAGCAGCUCGCCUCAUCCCAUCCCAUGGCCGCCCGUUUCCCAGGUGGUCAGUAUAUAUAUAUAUAUAUAAACAAUCAGAUGUCUCUCAUGGGGGGUCUACACAUACUUUUAUUCAUUCAUGUAUAGAGUAUAUAUGAAGGAUAAUCACCAUUCUAAGAAUGGGAAAGAAUGAUACAAGGAAGGAAUGAUAUAAGGAAAUAAUGAUACAAGGAAAGGAAUAAUAUAAGGAAAUAAUGAUACAAGGAAAGCAUUCCUAAUAUCUCAACACUCCCCUCUUAAGGAAAAAAUGAUACAAGGAAAGUAUUCCUAAUAUCUCAACACUCCCCCUCAAGUUGGUGCAUAGAUGUCACACAUGCCCAACUUGUUUAAAAAUUUUGAGAACACUUGUCUUGAGAUAGCUUUGGUGAGGAUAUCAGCCAAUUGAUCUUCUGAUUUAAUCUUAGGCAAUUCCACAAUCUUAUCAUCCAACUUCUCCUUAAUGAAGAAUCUAUCCACCUCGACAUGCUUUGUAUGAUCAUGUUGUACUGGAUUAUGUGCAAUGUCACAUGCAACAUUAUUGUCAGAAAACAAUCGGAUUGGUUGCCUAGAUAGGUAACCUAAAUCCUGUAAGAGGAGUCUUAGCCAUAAUGCCUCACAAAGUCCUAAAGCCAUACCCCUAAAUUCUGCUUCUGCACUUGAAUGAGCAACGACAUUAUGCUUCUUACUUUCCAUGUCACAAGAUUACCACCUACAAAGAUAAAGUAACCAGAUGUAGACCGCAUAGCAUCCACUGUACCGACCCAAUCAGCAUCAGUAUAUACUUCUAUACUCUGAUGAUCAACAUUUUUAGCGAACAAAAUUCCCUUCCCAAGAGCAUUCUUCAAAUACCUCAAAAUACAUAUGAUUGCAUUCAUAUGUUGUUCUCCAGGAUUAUGCAUGUAUUGACUCACUAUACUCAGUGCAUAAGCAAGAUCUGGUCUGGUAUGAGCUAAGUACAUUAAUCUCCUUACAAGUCUUUGGUAUCUUCCUUUAUCGGUUGAUACUUGAUUAGGCUCAACACACAAUUUCAGACCUUUUUCUAUUGGUGUAUCCAAGGAUAGAAAUAUCGGUAAAUACGGAUAUAUCGGUACUUGGAUUUUACGGAUAUAUCGGAAAUAUCGGUGGAUUUUUCAUCAAAUAUCGGUGAGACAAAAAUUAUCCAAAAUUGAUGGGAAUGCUUAGAAAAAUCCAAAGAAUGAUAAAAUAAGCAAGAAUAUACAUGUUAAAGUUAUUUUAUAACUGUAAUUGACAUAAAUAUGGUCAAAGAAAAAAAUAUCGGUAAAUAGUUUACGAUACUUGGAUUUUAAGAAUAGAAAAUAUGAAAUUUGGAAUUGUACACUUAGAAAGUUAGAAUUGAGUUAAGAAAUAUUUGAUUUUAUUAAAUGAAAACAAUUUACACAUAAACAUAAUACAUAUGACAUUGCAAUGGUCCUUAAUACCAAAAUGAAGAUCGAUGUGGUUCCAUCAUAUUGUUAUUGUUAGAUGAAGGGAGCCCAUCUUGUUGAAGACAAUAUUCAUACCAGGACAUGGAGUUUCGAUAGUAUUGAUUGUAUGUACGAACAUGCCAUGCAUAAAUUUCUUGAGUCUACCAACAACUUGUCCAUGGAUAGGAAAUCCAAGGUUUUCCCAUGUGCUCGUUUGAAAUCCUUGUUGUUGCAACUGAUGUGGAAGGUAGUAUGGCAUUUGUGUGGAAGAAGGAUAGUUAUACCUUUCAUACUCUUCAUCAGUGGAACUUGAAAGAUUUUGAGGAGGCUGACCAUAACUCAUUGCAUAAGGGGCAUAAAUGUUGGCUUCGUUUGAUGAAUCACUGAAUUGAGUCUCUACACUCAUCGACUCAAAACUGGCCGACAAUGAGUCCUCGUUGUACAACAUCAUCCUUCGUUGUCUUCCUCUAUAUGGCUUUCCAAUGGCUCCAACACCUGGACCGGCUCUUCUAGAGCCGUGGUCUUCAUCUUGAGUACAAUGUGUGAAAUCAUCUUCACAAGUAAAUGCCAAUGGUUGUCCACUUUGUUGUUGUUGUCUAACAUCCCCUUCAUCAUUUCCAAGGUCGCUACCAUCAUUGGUCCCCUCUUCUCUUGAACCAUCAUAACCGGAAGCGGAGGCGAAAGUACCAGUAGCACUAGGUCUACUACUAUGUUCAACACUCGUGGAGUCAAAAGAAGGUCGAGAAGUGACUGCCGGCUGAGAAAUUCCUUGUCAAAAUGAAUAUCUCGUGUCUUGGCUGAAACUAUCAGUAUGAACUUCUUCGGAUAACACUCAAUCAACAUCAACACCUGCUUCUCGGACAUGUGCGGCAAUUCGUGGGUCGGGAUUUCCAUCUUCAUCAUCUAAAUGAAGAGGUCUAACCCAUUGAAACAAUUGGUUAUCUUCUUCUUCACCAACCUCAGUUGCAAUGUCAAGUAAAUCGAGGUAAUCUUUCUCUGCAACUUUGUCAUGUUCUGCUUCCAUGUCACGUAUCUUUAGUUUCAUGUUAUAAUAAUAGAAAACUAAUUGUUGGAGCAUCGGGUAAGCAAGCCGAUUUCUUUGUUUUGUAUGAAUUAAGGCAAACGUGCUCCAAUUUCUCUCACAAGCUGAAGAUGAUGCAGUUUGCGAUAAAGCCUUGAUGGCCAACCUUCUUAAUGUAGGAGUGUGAUUUCCAUACAUGAACCACCAUUCAGCUACAACCAAAUAAAUGAUAUCAAUACUUAUAUUGGAAAGUUACAAUAAUAUGCUAAUGAAAUGAAUUAUUAAUUCACAAAUAAUACUCACCGGGAACCAUUUCUGACCUCGAAGCAAUCGCUGCUCGAUCACCGAAUCCUCUUUUUGCAUCUCGAAAUAGUAUAAUCUACAUAUUAAAUAAUUGAAAGUGAAAAAGUUGAGUAAAUGAAAUUCAAUUAUUUAAUUUAUAUUAUAACUCUAAUAAUUUACCUCAUUUCCAAAUUGACUAAGACCUUCUGAUGUAGGAUCUAAUUUCGCAAAGACUUCAUGAACAGCUUGAAGUAGAUCAGGAUCAGUACCAACUCCACGUUUAUAUUGAAAUCUUGGAUUAAGAAAGAAUGCUACAAUAGUAAAGUAGAAAUGUAAAAUUAGAAUGUUAUGAAAGAAACAUAUUAAAUACCUAUAAAUUUCAAAGAUGAAUAAUACUUACCUGCUGCAUGAAGAGGAUGUUUAAGAGUUCUAUCCCAACGAUCUGCAAUUAUUUCUAACACCCAUUCUUUAGCAUUAAGUCGAAUGAGGUUCUCUUUCAUAACUCGAAUCAAUUCAUACACAAAUGGCAUUGUAGGAACAACUUCUGAAUCGACAAUGCGAAGAACUGUGUAUAACGCCUCAUAUAUUGACACUCACUUUCCCACUCUUUCCCAGUACGCAUGGUCAAACAUAAGUGAUUCAACUUCUUUGCCGAUUAAUGUGCGACUUAAGUUGUGUUGUGCCCAUUCAUCACUGAUAAACACUUUCUUCAAGUUUGCUUUCUUUUUCAAAAGACUGUCGAGGGCUAUAUAAUUGGUUGCAAAUAUUGUUGCUCCAGGACGAACUAUGUCUCCACCACACACCUUCCGCAUCUGUGCAAGCAACCAACCAUGGUUAUAAAUGAAGUUGGUUAUCUUUCGAGCCUUUGUAAUCACAUCUGCAACACUCGUCCUUUUACCGAUGUCUUCGAACAUUAAGUCGAUGCAAUGUGCUGCACACGGAGUCCAAUAAAGAUUGUAUUUUUUCAUUAACAACUUCCCCGCCUUCACAAAUGCCGACCCAUUAUCUGUAACUAUUUGGACCACAUUUUGUUUGCCAACUUCCUUGAUUACAUCCUUCAACAAACCAUAUAUGUAUUUGUUGUCCUUUAUAUUAUUUGAUGCAUCAACAGAUUUGAGGAAGAUUGUGCUACCUUUUGAAUAUACCAUGAAAUUAAUUAUGCUUAAUUUCGUGGGUCCAGUCCAUCCGUCAGACAUAAUCGUGCAUCCAUAAGUCUUCCACUUUUCUCUUUGAAUAUUGACAUAAGCUUCCAUGUCUUUGUACUCCAUAUCCAAAUACUCGUGUUUGAUUUCAUAAGGAGGCGGUGGUUCUAUACCCAUACCUACCAUCCAUAUAUAAUUAAAACAUAUAAGAACAUUUGUGGCAAUCAUACUAUAUAAAUAGUAAUGAUAUUGUUAAAAUGAAUACAACUUUUAAAAUUAUAGUAAUUACCUGCUUGUUGUGCACCAAUAAUCAUGUUCUUGAAGUGGUGAGAGUCUGCUUUAUUGGGCGGAACACUCUCAUAUAUGAAGAACUUACUGAUCAAAAGUCCCAUGGUUUCCUUGAUGGCACCACAUUUGAAAAGAUUUUUCAUAGUUUUCUGUCUUGCCGCUGAAGAUUUGUACAAUGAGGGUGCAUCAGGCAGUGAUGGAUCUGAAUAUCGAACACUUUGCGAUUUUCGCAUUUGCCUUGUUGUUGGAUUGGUUGGAUGUGAAGACUCGCCUAUUAUAAUUAUUAAAAUUAAACAUAUAUGCUAAUUUAAUAUUAUUGAUAAAGUUGAUAAGAAAUAGUAAUAAUUCAAAUUAAUAUUAUACUUGUUUUUCUUUUGCUUUUUAUAAAAUGUUCUUCUUGUUGUCGAUUCCAUUCAGCAGCUUUUGAUGCUUGAACCGCCUCUCUAUAAGCAUGUCGCUCAUCAGGGUGCAUGUCAGCCGGAUACAUAUACACAUCAUCAUCUCCAUCAUCAUCAUCACCACCAAGGUUCUCCUCAUCGUCCUCAUCAAUUACAUGUCUAUGUCUUCUUCCCAUUGUGUCUCGCAGUUCUGAUCGAAUCUCUUCUAUAUCUGCAGCUUUCUUCGCUUUUGCCUUAUUUUUUUGCUCUAGAAGUCGUCUUAUUUCUUGUUUCACUUCUGGAGGCACGUUAAGACACUUUUUUGUAUUUGAAUUAGGGUCUGUAUGUGAUAGGUGAAAUUUAAAACAAGUAAUCCCACCACUCUUUAUUGCCAACCCACAGUAAUUGCAUAUUGUUCCAUUUUUGUUCCCUUCCAUAGGUGUACAAUAUUUCCAACAAGGAUCUCGACCCAUGAUACCACUUUCACUAGCCAUUUUCUAAAAUUGAAUUAUGAAACUAAUAUCAAAUUUAAAAUUAUUAAAGAUAAAACAUGUAUGAAAUUUAAUAUUCAUGAAAUUGAUAAGAACUAAUAAAAAUUGAAAUUAAAAUUGAAUUAUGCACAUAUGAAAUAGAUAAACAUUACAAUAAAAUUUCAAUAUGAAUUAAAUUUAAAUUAAAUUAAAUUUGCAUAUUCAUGAAAUUGAUAAGAAUCAUUACUAAUAAAAAUUAAAAUUAAAAUUGAAUUAUGCAUAUAUGAAAUAGAUAAACAUUACAAUAAAAUUUUGAUAAGAAUUAAAUUAAAUUAAAUUAAAUUAAAUUUGCAUAUUCAUGAAAUUGAUAAGAAUCAUUACUAAUAAAAAUUAAAAUUGAAUUAUGCAUAUAUGAAAUAGAUAAACAUUACAAUUACAUUUCCAUAUGAAUUAGAUAAUAUCAAUUAAACUAUAUAUAACAAAUAAAAUUGAAUUAUACAUAAUAAAAUAAAUUUUAUGGAAGGUAAGACAUACCUUAAUUAGCCUUGACUUGGAGUUAAUCCCCUUCACCACCAAAUUUUCAAAAUAAAAAAAUUUUGCUAGAUCAUAUAAGAAUUUUGAUGUAUGAAAUGGAAUGGAAUGUGGGUAUUUAUAGGAAUUUUUUGGUCAAACUAGCCAUUGGAUGGUCAAAUAGUCGUUAUAAAUUAAUUUUAACCGUUGGAUCAAAAUUUGGUUCAAAUUUCACCAUUAGAUUUUCAUAUAACCGUUGGAAACACUCCAUAGCCCUUGGAUAAAGUGAAGAUUGAUUUUCCACCAUUGGAUCACAAAUCUGACCGUUGGAGGCCUUUACAAAUACACGGGUGAAAUCUGGGCCAUCAGAUCCUCAAAAAUUCAAAAUUGGCCAUCAGAUCAAAAUCAUUGGAGCUGGGAAAAAUCGGCGAUUUUCUCGGUAAAAAAUCGGCGAUAUAUCGGUAAAAUCGUCGAUUAAUCGCUGAUUUUUUCAACUCCUCUGGCAGCUUCUCCGCGCGUGCCUCCACUCUUCGAUUUUUUGCCGAUUUAUCGGUGCUUCACCGAUAUUUCGCCAAUAUAUCGGCGAUUUUGCCAAUUUUUGGCCGAUUUUUCCAUCGAUCGAUAAUCGGUGACGAUUAUUGUUUCAGUGCCGCCCGAUAUCCGAUAUUUAUUCGAAAUAUCAACGAUAUAUCCCGAUUUUUCAAUCCCUGGGUGUAUCAACAAGUUGACAUCCCGACAUUCCAGUCUCCUAUAAAAGAUUUAAGGCAUACUUUCUUUGAGACAGAAAAAUUCAUUCACUUGAUUGAGAAACUUCAAUCCCAAGAAAGUAUUUCGGAGGACCUAGAUCUUUCAUUUCGAAUUCUCUAGAUAGAUAAUUCUGUAGAGCUUUUCUUUCUUCAGGAUCAUUUCCUGUAACUACCAUGUCAUCCACAUAUACGAUGAGUGUCGUAAUCUUACCAUGUUGCUUUUUCAGGAACAAAGUGUGAUUUGAAUUACUUUGAUGAUAGCUAAAAGCUCUCAUUGACUUUGUGAACCUUCCAAACCAUGCUCUCGGGGAUUGCUUCAACCCAUACAAUGAUUUCUUCAAUUUGCACACCUUCUGACAUUGCUUUUCUGACCCCAUGCAUCCUGAUGGAAGAUCCAUAUAUACUUCUUCAGAUAACUCGCCAUGUAGAAAGACAUUUUUUACAUCGAAUUGUUGUAAUGGUCAAUCCAGGUUUGCAGCUAAAAACAGUAAUACUCGAACUGUAUUGAUCUUAGCUACAGGUGCAAAUGUCUCUGUAUAGUCAAUUCCAUAAGUUUGAGUGUACCCUUUUGCUACCAAUCUUGCUUUAAAACGUUCAAUACUACCAUCUGCCUUGUACUUCACAGUAUAGAUCCAACAACACCCAACUGGCUUCUUUCCUGGUGGACAUUCUACGAGUUCCCAUGUUUCAUUCUUCUAUAAUGAUUUCAUAUCUUCAUUCAUGACUGCUUUCCACCUUGGAUUAGCUAAGGCUUCCUGCACACUGUUAGGAAUAGUUACAAUAGAUAAUUGAUUUACAAAUGACUUAUUUGAUUCAGACAAACAAUGGUUAGAUACAUAGUUGCUCAUGGGAUAUUUGACAUUGGUAGACAAUUUAGGUUCAUAUGUGGGUUUAGGAAUAUCUCUAUUAUGACGGUGUGGAAACCGUUUUGUGAAUGGAUUAGGUUCCAAAUUAAGAACACCCUCAACAGACGACGAUUGGUUUGGUAUUUCAGUGAAGGCAUCUUUAGACCCAAAUUGCUCGGAUGGUUCAAUUGUACUGUCUCUCCCCUCUUUUAUCACUUCUUCAGCUUCUGGGUGGUCAUUACUACCUGGUUCACCCGCUUCUUUAUUCACUAGUUUAGAUUGUCCAUAUUCAUCCUCCUUAGAGAUAUCAUAAUCGAGAGUCUGAAUUUCCUUAUAGUACUCCCCUUGAAGUUCAGACUCAAAUGAAAAAUACAUUGAAUCUUCAUGAAACACCACAUCCAUUGUAAUAAACAUUCGUCGAGUUGGAGGAUGAUAACAUCGAUAUCCCUUUUUGUGCAAUGCAUAUCCAACAAACACAUAUUGCAAUGCACGGGAAGUUAACUUGGUGCGUUGGUGUUUGUGUAGAUGCACAAAUGCCAUGCAACCAAAAACACGAGGAGGUAGAUUUGGGAUGGUUGGGGCAACUACAACAUUAGUAAGAGCUUGGAGAGGUGUUUGGAAGUCAAUUGAACUGGAAGGUACCCGAUUGAUCAAGUAUGUAGCAGAUAUGAUUGCUUCUCCCCAAUAAGAUAUCGACAUUUUUGCUGCUAUCAAGGAAGCAUGAACAACCUCUAACAAGUGCCGAUUUUUUCGUUCAACGACUCCAUUUUUCUGGGGUGUAUUGGAACAAGUAGUCUGAUGAAUGAUGUCAUGUCCUUCCAAAUACUUUUGAAGAUCAGAAUUAUGAUAUUCUCCACCAUAUCGCUACGCAGAACCCGAACCUUUGCAUUGUAUUGAGUUUCAAUCAUUUUAUGAAAAUUUUGAAACAACAAGUUCACUUCAUCUUUGGUCUUCAUCAAGCAUAACCAGGUCAUUCUGGUACAAUCAUCAAUAAAAGUAACAAACCAACGCGAGCCUCUCAAAGUUGGGACUUUGGAUGGGCCCCAAACAUCAUAAUGUAUAACCAUAAAAGGAAGCGGACUUUUAUUCAAAAUUAACGGAAACGAAGUACGAUGACUUUUAGCCAAUUCAAAAAUAUCUCAACGAAAACCAGAAAUAUCACUCAUUGCAAACAAAUUAGGAAACAAUUUUUUAAAAUAGCCAAAGGAAGCAUGUCCCAAGCGUCGAUGGCACAACCAAAUUUCAGACUUUUUCUCCUCCCCCUCAAAUCCAUCUAUCAUCAAGGCUUGUCGUAAUUUAUUGGAAUCCUUUGACUGCAAGUCCAAGUAAUAGAGUUUUUCCACUUAAUACCACAACCAAUCGUCUGUCUUGUUUGGAUGUCCUUAAAAACACAAAAUUCAGGCCAAAAAAUGACAAUACAAGAUAAUGCUGCAGUGAUUUGAGAAAUUGACAAAAAAUUGUAAUCUAAAGAUGGAACAACUAAAAUAGAAUCCAAAUUCAAAGUAUCAGUAAGAGUUAAGGAUCCUUCCCCAAUGACUGGGGUUGUGUUACCAUUGGCUGUGGAAAUAAUUUUUUGUGAGGAAGGUAUAAGGGGUGAGACCUGUCUAGAAUCAAAAGUCAUAUGAUCUGUAGCACCAGAAUUAAUUAUCCAUGCACUAUUAAUAACAGGUGUAGAAGUAUUCAAAAACUUACCAUCAUAAUCUAUAUUGGCUACCAAUGCAGAGACAUUCUCAGUAACAUUAGCCUCUGUUUUUAUUUCGGCAAUAGCUGCAGUCGAGGUUUUCUUGGAAUUCUUCUUCCGUUGAUCACGAUUAUGAUCCCACCAGUCUGGAUAUCCCACAAUUUCAAAGCAACAACUCUUGGUAUGACCAGUCUUAUUGCAGUGAGUGCAUUUGAAGGUUGACUUAUCAAUAUUAGGGCCCGUCUUAGGAUGGUUGGUCUUGGAUUGGUCCUGCCAAUUCUGGGUUGAUCGCUGUCGGACUACCAUAGAUGAGGUGUCAGGAUUGUCAUAUUAUGUUUUCAUACUAGCAUGACGCACUGCCUCUCGUCGAAUCAGUGCAUAGCAUUCUUCCAAAUUGGGAAGAAGAUCUUUGCGUAGAAUCUCUCCUCGAACUUGCUCAAAGUCACCAUCCAAUCCAGCAAGAAAGAUGUGCACCCAUUGUUGUUCAAUGGAUUUCCGAUAUGUUGUAAUGUCAUCAGGGUCUUUCAUGACCACCUUAUCCCGAUGAUCCAAUUCGCAAAAAAUCUCAGUUAACUCUCCGUAAUAUUCAGAAAGAGACCUGCCGCUUUGUUUGGAAGUGAAUACUUUUUUUAUUCAAAGUGAAAACUUGUAAUUCAUCGCUUCCAUCAUAGAAGACAUUUGAUAAUGCACUCCAAAUUUCUUGAGCGGUGGGUAAGCGUAAGUAACACUUCAUAAUUUCUUGACUCAUGGACAUUAACAACCAUUUCUUCACCUUUUGAUUCUCAGCAUACCAUUUUUCAUAUCUAUCUUCUGACUCUUUUGGUGGAUUUGUUUUACCUCGAAUGUAGGAAAGUUUUUCCCGUUCAACAAUAUGCAUCUUCAUAAGUUGUGACCAAACGUCAUAGUUUGAUUCAAUCAAAAUAAUUCCUAGAUUAAAAGUACCUUCAGAUUGAAAAAUAAUAGUAUUUUUUUCACUUUUUUUUUUUUUUUGAUGAUUAAAUAUAAUAUAUAUUCAACUGGUGAUGUAGGAAGAAAGUGACAAAAAAUAGGGGACCCUAAAUAGAAAGAAAGAUUUUUCAAGAAAAUCAAAUAAUAGAGAAAAAAAUAGUAGAAGACACUGAAAGUACAAAUAAGCAUGCCAGGUUGUAGGACAAUGUCAGUUUUCCGGCAACUGUCCAAGAUUUCAGUUCCAUGGCUUUGAUACCAUCUUCAAAUUAAUGAAUGAGGUUUUUUUUUUUCUCAUUCAUAUUUUUAUUCAUUCAUGUACAGAGUAUAUAUAAAGGGUAAUCAUCAUUCUAAGAAUGGGAAAAAAUGAUACAAGGAAUGAAUGAUAUAAGGAAACAAUGAUACAAGGAAAGGAAUGACAUAAGGAAAGAAUGAUACAAGGAAAGUAUUCCUAAUAUCUCAACAACUGGUAUAUCACUUUUGACGAUAAAAGGAAUUUUAGUUAAAAGUGAGGUUAAUUGCUCUAUUGUAAUGAUAUGAUAUAAAAUGUCUCUUUGAUGGAAAAAAUUGAAAAUUGAGUUCAUAGAAUUUAGUCUGAAAAUUAUUGAAAAAUGUCUCAAAUUCUUAAUUAAUAAAAAUUUAUUUUUACACAGAAUAUUAUAUAAAAUAUUUUCUAAAUUAAUACAUCAUUGUAAUAUUAUAUUAUUUUAUAGAAUAAACAAAGUUAUUAGAAAUAUCUUAAUAAAUAUUUUAGGUUAAGAAAAGAAAAAGUUAAUAAGAUAAAUAUGAGCUUUUAGAGACUACACAUUGUUUUAUCUUAGUAUCGGAAGGCCAGGUUGCGGAGAAGUUGAACAUGGAUAAAGCAUAUGGGCUGGCCUUACAAUGAGCCGCCCCACUAAUGGUGCACCCACAGCCGAGGCUGUCACCCCAAGGUUUCGGGAAGUAAAUGAGGUUGUUUUCCCAUGAUUAAAACAGAAAACUUGAUGAUGGAUUUGGCUGAAUAAUUAUGACGUUGGAGAGCGAUGGAGUGUAGUAGUUUCGUGAUGGGUUUUCCCUCAGCCACGUGGACGUUAAUAUUGUAAACGUUGACUCUGAAGGAGCUAUCUAAUAAUGCAAUAUGUCGGAUUAAAAAUUAAAUUAUUUACCCCACAAUAUGAAUGUCGAGCGUAGGAGAAGAAAGUCAUAUGAUGAAUAUGAAGGCAUCACAAUCUAAAGAGUCGUGCAAUGCGGCGAGUGAAUAUGACCAAUAAAAGCACGAAAACUGAACGGGAGUCGCUUCAUCUGUCCUGCAUUCAUUUACAUUCUUUGCCCCAUUGGUUAAGAAUCCGUCCUGUUCUAGGAAAAUUUUUCCCAUCAUUUCGAAUGUCUUCCCAUUUAAAUAUGAAAUUUUGAAUGGUCGUGUAUGAUUUUUUUCUUACUAGCCAUUAUUUUGAGAAUAAUACAAGUUUGACCAACACAACUAUGUCUUUUUUCCUCAUAAUAAAUUUCCAAUCUUGAUUCAUUAUAAUUUUUUAAUGAAAUAAUUCAAAAAAACUACAUACAAGUUGUUAUACAUCUUGCUCAUGUGUGUAAAAGGAAAGAGAUACAUCCUUGUUUUUCAACUAUUAAAAUGAUAUCCUUGGGCCAAUUCUUUCAUUACGUCUGAAUAUUUUGGGAGAAUUGUGGAACCAUUUUGAGACAGUGAAUUUAAAUAGCAUUUUUAAUAUUUUAAAAAAUUAUUAUUAAAAACGUUUUUUAAUAUCCAUUUUUUCAACAUCAGGACCAAGAACGCAAAAUAAAAUAUAAUUUUCCCUACUUGCUACCAAAGAUUUUGGUUGAUUAUUUUUCUGAUAAUAAAUAAUAUUUUAUUUUGCGUUCUUGGUCAAAAAAUGGAUAUUAAAAUAUAUAUAAUUUUUCAGCUACAACAGCGCGCACGGAGCACGCUCUUAGUUAGAACACACUUGUACCCGUCAUCUUUGAUUUAGCUAACCCCGAAUCUCCCUUUAUAUUCCUCUCUGGAUUCAGGAGCCGAGACUCAGAGAUAAGCCAAGAAGCCAUGAAUCCCCUGGCGCUGAUUUUCUGCACGGCUCUCUUCUGCAUUCUCCUCUACCACUUCCUCACGCGCCGCUCUGUCCGCCUCCCUCCGGGGCCCAAGCCAUGGCCGAUUGUGGGGAACCUCCCUCACCUGGGCCCCGUCCCUCACCACUCCAUUGCUGCGCUCGCUAAAACCUACGGCCCUCUCAUGCAUCUCCGUAUGGGCUUCGUCGACGUCGUGGUGGCCGCCUCCGCCUCCGUUGCCGCUCAGUUCUUGAAAACUCAUGAUGCUAAUUUCUCCAACAGGCCUCCUAAUUCAGGUGCCAAGCAUAUCGCCUACAACUAUCAGGAUCUGGUGUUCGCUCCCUACGGCCCCCGGUGGCGCAUGCUCCGCAAGAUUUGCUCCGUCCACCUCUUCUCUGGCCAAGCCUUGGAUGAUUUUCGCCAUAUCCGACAGGUACCUAGCUUAAUCUCUCUCAGAAAUGAAUCCUUUCUCAAUUUUAAUCCAUUUUUCGUUUUUUCUUCCUGAUCGCUUCUAUUAUUUCAUCGCAAAUUAAGAUCUGGUUACACAGAUUUCAUUUUUCCAUAAAAACAUGUAAGAAAAUAAUAGCAUGUGUUCACCAUCAUUGUCUAGUCCUGUCAGAGUAUUUGCAGUCUCCACUCUCUCUGUAUACACUACACAUCUUUUUGAAGAAGGCCCGGCUCCACAAGUUUAUUAUUACUAUUUUUUUAAUGAUUUUUUUUAGUAAGGUUGUUUUCCUCCGGCAGUGGAAGUCCGUGCAUUCACGCGAGACUUUACCAUUUAAUAUUUAAAAUUAUAUUUUUUUAAUGUUUGUUUUAUAAAAAUACUGAACUGACAAAUGAGUUGCCGCUGAGUUUUAUCCAAUUUUGAUGAUUAGAAAAAUAAUCAGUAGAUGAAAAUUUAUGUGACGUACAGGAGGAGGUUUUGGCGCUAAUGCGCGCACUUGCGAGGGCGGGUCAAACGCCGGUGAAGUUGGGGCAGCUGCUGAACGUGUGCACUACCAACGCCCUAGGGCGGGUGAUGUUAGGCAGGAGAGUGUUCGGCGACGGCAGCGGAGGCGAAGAUCCGAAGGCCGACGAGUUCAAAGAGAUGGUGGUGGAGCUGAUGGUCCUGGCCGGAGUUUUCAACAUCGGCGACUUUGUGCCGGCGCUGGAAUGGCUGGACCUGCAGGGCGUAGCUUCCAAGAUGAAGAAGCUCCAUGCUCGGUUUGACGCUUUCCUGGGCGCCAUCGUGGAGGAGCACAAGAUCAGCGGCUCUGCUGGUUCCGAGCGUCACGUGGACUUACUCAGCACGUUGAUCUCGCUGAAGGAUAAUGCCGACGGUGAGG